rnacentral:lncRNA from 1 species
AAAGGGUGAUUUCUACUCCCAUCCAUAUCGGGUUGGCCACAUAUACCCUGUUGGCUAUGAGGAAAGUGUUUGCUUUCCCUCUGGCCCUCGGGCAGUCCCAGCAUGUUGGAGUGAUGAGAGAGUUAUGAAUUUGUUGAUGCUGCAACACUCUUCCUUAGGACAGGUGUAUGCUAAGAAAAUGAAAAGACUGUACCUACAGUAGCCAGAGUCCACAAAGUUGCACUGGAAGUCAGGCUGGUGAGACAUUUCCAGAAGCUGAUAGGGUGGCAGAGGCUCAGUAGUGAGAGGAUAUGCUGGUGCCCAUAUCCAUCUGGAGCACCAAGGACCACAGGAGGUGACCUCGCCCUGGGCUCCCGGAGCUGCCCCAGUCUAGUGAGGCUGUAAGGACAUCCCUGCAUUCCCCCUCACUGUGACCCCAGGCAUGCAGUCACACUGUUCACAUCCUGCAGCGAGGCCACCUUUUCCUCUUGAGCUGGCCAGCACCUCCCUAUGCCCCGGCAGAAGCUGUCACAGUAAUGUCACUGCACAGGGGCUGCCCAGCCCUCUGCUGCUGGAGACUCAUCCAUGGCUCAGCCUCAGUCAGCCCUUCUGAUUUAUUCUCCCUUUGGUUAAAUAUUUCUGCCAUGAACACUAGUGUAACAUUAAUAAAAUUUCUAUUUCCAUUCAGUUCUGUGUUGUUGCGAACUGCAUUUCUCUGA